UCAGAAGAAUCUUGUAGGGCGCGUGGAGAUCACCCAGGUUGUAUAGCUUUUUGUAGCAUGAUCAGAUUAGAGGGUUGUAUAGGGUUUAGUUGUCUUUCUUUUGUGGAUGUAUUUAUUUCAAUUUGAAAGACUGUACUUAUACCUCAUAUUGUCAGCUCGACUUUUAUUUUGAUAGGUCCUUGUACCAUUUUUUUGAUGCGACGUGGAGAAGUUAAAAUUCUUGGGGCAAUGUUUUGUACAGGUGUCUGCCGAGAACACUC
rnacentral:lncRNA from 1 species